UUACUGUACCUUAGUUGCUUCGGCGGGCCCGCCAUUCAUGGCCGCCGGGGGCUCUCAGCCCCGGGCCCGCGCCCGCCGGAGACACCACGAACUCUGUMUGAUCUAGUGAAGUCUGAGUUGAUUGUAUCGCAAUCAGUUAAAACUUUCAACAAUGGAUCUCUUGGUUCCGGCAUCGAUGAAGAACGCAGCGAAAUGCGAUAACUAGUGUGAAUUGCAGAAUUCCGUGAAUCAUCGAGUCUUUGAACGCACAUUGCGCCCCCUGGUAUUCCGGGGGGCAUGCCUGUCCGAGCGUCAUUGCUGCCCAUCAAGCACGGCUUGUGUGUUGGGUCGUCGUCCCCUCUCCGGGGGGGACGGGCCCCAAAGGCAGCGGCGGCACCGCGUCCGAUCCUCGAGCGUAUGGGGCUUUGUCACCCGCUCUGUAGGCCCGGCCGGCGCUUGCCGAACGCAAAUCAAUCUUUUUCCAGGUUGACCUCGGAUCAGGUAGGGAUACCCGCUGAACUUAAGCAUAUCA
rnacentral:rRNA from 1 species